UCAGACGAUGCGUCAUGCAUAUCAAUAAGCGGAGGAAAAGAAACUAACAAGGAUUCCCUCAGUAACGGCGAGUGAAGCGGGAAGAGCUCAAAUUUGAAAUCUUGAAAGGUCACCUUUCACGAAUUGUAGUUUAAAGAAGUGUUUUCUGUUACGAUCGUAAUAUAAGUUCUUUGGAAUAGGACAUCACAGAGGGUGAGAAUCCCGUCUAUGAUUGCGAUUUGUAGCUUUGUGAUACACUUUCAAAGAGUCGGGUUGUUUGGGAAUGCAGCCCAAAACGGGAGGUAAAUUUCUUCUAAGGCUAAAUAUUGGCGAGAGACCGAUAGCGAACAAGUACCGUGAGGGAAAGAUGAAAAGAACUUUGAAAAGAGAGUUAAACAGUACGUGAAAUUGUCAAAAGGGAAGCGUUUGACACCAGUGUUGUUUUCUCGAAAAUCAAUUAAAAAGAGUUAGAUUUUGUUGUGUAUUGACCUUAACAGCUUGCAUUUCAAUUUUCUUGCUUUUUUUAAUGCACUUUUCGUUUAACAAGUCAACAUCAGUUUCUUUUGUUGUAAAAAGGUCAUUGGAAGGUGGCUUUCUUUUCGGAGAAAGUGUUUAUAGCCUUUGACUCCUGCAAUCGGAGAGACUGAGGUCUGCAGCGUAGAUCCUUCGGGGUUAGAUACAUUUGUGCUAAGUUAUAGCUUUUUAUAGACAACUUGUUGACUAUGAUUAGUCUUGUAGCUUACUCGCUUAUGCUAUUUUACCUACGCUUAGGAUGUUGAUCUGUAGUGCGUGCGC
rnacentral:rRNA from 1 species